rnacentral:rRNA from 1 species
CGUGGCUCAAGGACGAACGCUGGCGGCGUGGCCUAAUAACAUGCAAGUCGAACGCUUCUUUCCUCCCGAGUGCUUGCACUCAAUUGGAAAGAGGAGUGGCGGACGGGUGAGUAACACGUGGGUAACCUACCCAUCAGAGGGGGAUAACACUUGGAAACAGGUGCUAAUACCGCAUAACAGUUUAUGCCGCAUGGCAUAAGAGUGAAAGGCGCUUUCGGGUGUCGCUGAUGGAUGGACCCGCGGUGCAUUAGCUAGUUGGUGAGGUAACGGCUCACCAAGGCCACGAUGCAUAGCCGACCUGAGAGGGUGAUCGGCCACACUGGGACUGAGACACGGCCCAGACUCCUACGGGAGGCAGCAGUAGGGAAUCUUCGGCAAUGGACGAAAGUCUGACCGAGCACGCCGCGUGAGUGAAGAAGGUUUUCGGAUCGUAAAACUCUGUUGUUAGAGAAGAACAAGGACGUUAGUAACUGAACGUCCCCUGACGGUAUCUAACCAGAAAGCCACGGCUAACUACGUGCCAGCAGCCGCGGUAAUACGUAGGUGGCAAGCGUUGUCCGGAUUUAUUGGGCGUAAAGCGAGCGCAGGCGGUUUCUUAAGUCUGAUGUGAAAGCCCCCGGCUCAACCGGGGAGGGUCAUUGGAAACUGGGAGACUUGAGUGCAGAAGAGGAGAGUGGAAUUCCAUGUGUAGCGGUGAAAUGCGUAGAUAUAUGGAGGAACACCAGUGGCGAAGGCGGCUCUCUGGUCUGUAACUGACGCUGAGGCUCGAAAGCGUGGGGAGCAAACAGGAUUAGAUACCCUGGUAGUCCACGCCGUAAACGAUGAGUGCUAAGUGUUGGAGGGUUUCCGCCCUUCAGUGCUGCAGCAAACGCAUUAAGCACUCCGCCUGGGGAGUACGACCGCAAGGUUGAAACUCAAAGGAAUUGACGGGGGCCCGCACAAGCGGUGGAGCAUGUGGUUUAAUUCGAAGCAACGCGAAGAACCUUACCAGGUCUUGACAUCCUUUGACCACUCUAGAGAUAGAGCUUUCCCUUCGGGGACAAAGUGACAGGUGGUGCAUGGAUGUCGUCAGCCUCGUGUCGUGAGAUGUUGGGUUAAGUCCCGCAACGAGCGCAACCCUUAUUGAUAGUGCCAUCAUUAGUUGGGCACUCUAGCGAGACUGCCGUGACA